UUGAAAUAAAACUGAAUUGGGCCUGUCUUUGCUGGGCCCAAAAGACUGAAAUUACUGGGCUUCUAAUCCAAUUUAUGCUGGGCUAGAAAUGCCUCUGCACUUGCUAAAAUUGGGCCAUGAAAUUGCUGCAAAGAGAAUGGGCUGAGAACGCUGGAUUGGGGGUGGCUUCGGCUUCGCUGGAAUCUUCAAGCGGCGGCGUUGAAGGAACUCACACGGACUGAAAAGGAAGUGGAGCUGGCCGCGUGGACUGAAGCUUGUUGGUGGAGGCGGCGACAAGAGGACUUGAAGAUCGGUGGACUUGGACACGUGUGACUUCGCUGGCUUUGCUAGCUUCGUGCAACUGGGACGCGGAGGAAGAUUGGUGGAGUGGAGUCAACAAACCGGUUCGUGGUGCUUCGCUGGUUGACUGAGGCGAGGAGGAGGUGGACGCGUGGAGAAGAGGGCGCGGGCUUCGGUCUUCAGAGAUGGGCUGGCUUGCUGACCUGCGGAUGAAGACACGAAGACGUGGUCUUCAACGCUGGUUUGUUAACUAAACAACCAGCAGGCGCGGGGACUUCGGUGGAGGCUUCGCUCGGUGGAGUCUUCGGUCAGCAAGGCUUCACGAAAAUUGAAGCCGCGUGGAGUGAAGAACGCUGGUCAACGAAG
rnacentral:lncRNA from 1 species